CCUACGGGUGGCAGCAGUGAGGAAUAUUGGUCAAUGGGCGCGAGCCUGAACCAGCCAAGUAGCGUGAAGGAUGACUGCCCUACGGGUUGUAAACCUCUUUUAUAAAGGAAUAAAGUGAGGCACGUGUCCCUUUUUGUAUGUACUUUAUGAAUAAGGAUCGGCUAACUCCGUACCAGCAGCCGCGGUAAUACGGAGGAUCCGAGCGUUAUCCGGAUUUAUUGGGUUUAAAGGGAGCGUAGAUGGGUUGUUAAGUCAGUUGUGAAAGUUUGCGGCUCAACCGUAGAAUUGCAGUUGAUACUGGGAGUCUUGAGUACAGCUGAGGUAGGCGGAAUGCGUGGUGUAGCGGUGAAAUGCUUAGAUAUCGCGAAGAACCCCGAUUGCGAAGGCAGCUUACUAAACUGCCACUGACAUUGAGGCUCGAAAGUGUGGGUAUCAAACAGGAUUAGAUACCCGAGUAGUC
rnacentral:rRNA from 1 species